CCAUAGUGCUUGUCACUGUACGAACAAAAACUAAAUGACGGUUCCUUCCCCAAAGAACCGACAGUCUAAUAUGAGAGAACAGGUGGAUACAGCAAACACCCUCUGCUCCUGACAAGAUUAUCGUGAUCAAUGUGAUAAACAGUGGUCUCAGCACACCAGCUGCUUACCCAUUCCUGAGUUCUUUGUAGGCAUCACAGAGGAGGGUUAAGAGUGGAUUUAAAAGAGGACAACGUGGUGAUGCAACGAGAUGAGGAGUGAGUGUGCUCCCACAGAUGCAAUGCUAUGCUUCCUGCUGUGCUAUUUGAAGAUGAACUUUGCACAGGAGAGUUCAACUCUGCAAUCAAUCUUUUUCAAGCCAUUUUGUGCGGGGUAAUGGACCAAAACCUGCACUGACCUACACCUUGUGAGGCUCAAGUGAACUUACUGAGGCUGUGUGAGCAAAGAAGGGUGUGCUCAGAACUCAGACUUGGACCCACUCACUUGGUGGCACCAUGCAAUGAAGUGCUACAAGCCAGGCUCCCUUGCACUCAGCUAAACUCUCUGAGGCUCGUUUAUACUGACUCGACUGAUGUGUAAGGGAGAUGGAAGAAGGGCUGAGAAAGUCCUCCCAGUGUGUUGGAAGUAAUGAACUCACUGCUGAACUGGCAGUCCUAUUCUAUUCAGAUUCUUACAGGGAGCCCAUCACUGCGAUUUCUGAACAGGUCACAGAUGAGACUGUCUGCUUUCAUAAUUAUGAAUUGCAGUGUGCCUGAGCGGUGCCAAGCAACUGUACUUCUUUUCAGCCUUCCAUGGAAGUGAAGGGCACUCAAGUCACAGGAUUGCCCCUCUCCCCACCCCUCUGUGUUAGUGUAUGGGGAGGAGGUCUGCCUUAAAAUCCUGCCUUACUCAAAAGUUCAGCAUGUUUGCUGAGAGAUCCCUGAGUGUCAGCUCCAGGGCAGCCGUGGUGUGUUGCUUUUGGACUAGCUUGUAACUGCACUGAGGCUCCCCUCUCCUCUCCCCUCUCUCCCCCCUACCCAAAUCCUUAAUUUGCAGCUUACGCAAAUAAUGUAUCUUGUGUCUUGACUGACACCAGAGAGAACACAUGGAAAAAAGAAGGGUGGAUAAAAUUCUGUAUAGUAUAGGAAAACGCCUUGGAGGCAAUGCAGUCACAUUGCAUGACUUGUCUAAAAGGUACAACGUGAAUUUUAUAGCAAAGCCAUCAGCCAGUUCCCAUUACUUUCAGUUAAUAAUUAUUUCCAGAAGAUUAAGAACAGUGAAAGAGAUUGGAUGGAUAUUUAUGUUUAACCAAGUGACCUUGUAAAGUUUAUGUAAGUCAUAUCACAAUAGGGAUUAUAGAUAAGUUCACAUCCCACCUGACAAAAAUGGCCCUGGAAUCAUUGUAAAAUAUCAACCUUUAGAACAAGGUAAAACAAAAACCCCAUUAACUAAGUCAUCUGUAGGGCUGCACUCCUUUUAGUAACUACUGUUCAUACAUAUGUCAAGAGUCAGAUUUCAGUGCAUUGAACAAAAAUACAAGAGGUGUGGAGAGAUUGGUUUGGAGAACUGUUAACUUCUCCAGGAGCUAUGGAAAAGGAAAAAUAAUGUACCUUAAGGCUCCAGACAGAUAUGGAUUGUUCCCAGGUUUAUCUGUUACAUCAAGGUUGCUAGAAACACGCAGAAUGAAUUAACAAGGCAAGCUAUAAUUCUCAGUACAGGUUUGUUGACGGUACACUGUUGCUAGAAGCCUGCAGCAAUACAAACACAAAGAUUUCUGCUUAAAAGAGAAUGUGUUGGGACAGUGUCUGAGGAGAUUAUAGAAUUCUAGAGCCUGUACAUAUGUUAAUUUACCUCUGGCUGAUCAUAUUCAGCAAUAAGAAUAACGAAGCUGCAAUUGCAAAGGUGUUUUUUGUUAAUACAGUGUAUUAGCAAGAUACAUGGUUUUUCUUCAGUCUGAUACAGAAUACUGUGUUGUCAGAUGCAGCAAGGCUCAGCCUUGGCACGAGCCUUUCACUAUUAACAAUAAAACAGAAAAGGAUAAUCUGUGCAUAAUACUGAGAGGAAGUAGUAUGGUCCAAUGGACAGAGCACAGCACAGGACAGGGCAUUAGGAGACCUGGGUUCACUUCCUGACUGUUAUUUGCUAUUACUCACUGGGCAAGUAAGUUAAUCUCUUUGUACCUUGGUUUUCAGCCUUAAGGGUCUGAAACUUGCUCCCCCUUGACAUCCAACUCUGCCCAGUUUUAAGUAUGUUUGUUUUCUUCUAAUAUCUUCUACCCCAAGUUUAAAACUUUUCCUUAUGCAUUGUGAGAUUCCCUUUAUGAGUAUGGUUAUCAUAAUACUGCAUUUAUCCUUUUCUAACGUGCUUUUUAAGAAUUGCAAUGCAGUUACGCCAAGCGUAUUGGCAGGAGGGCAUUUGAUAACAUUUGUUAAUUAUUGAUUUAUAUUUUGAACGAUGUUUUGAGACCCUCGUCAAGGUCAGAGAUUUGAUGAGGCAUAGUCUUUAAGAAUGUUUAUCCCAUUUCUUGAUCUGUAAUAGUAAUCUUAAAUUAUUUCCUUUUUUGAUUCAUCGAGGGAAAGAUGAGUUUAUAUGUAAAUUUAUACAUCAUCAAGAUUUUAAAAAAGUGGAUUUUAAAUAUGCUUAAUUUCUCUUAAGCAUGUGCUUAAAUGCAUUGUUGAAUCAGGGCCUUCUCCCGGUAGAAAUCAGCUCAGCUCAGAUAGUGCUGUGAUGGGCAGCAGCAUUGAACCCUCCUAAGAUGGGUAAGAUAGGAGUAGCAGCAGGAAAUUCAAGUUAGCUACACCCAUGUUUGGAGCCAGUGUGAGAUCAGAAUCCAACCCCAUGAUUAUAAUAUAAUACUUUUCAGCUGCAUUACUAGUACCACCUUUGAUUAUUACAACAGAAAUAAUUUCAAAGGUGACAUUUGCAUUUCCGCCCUCAAGAGGCCCAUUCCCACAAUGUGCUGAACACCCUCACCUCCUGUUACAACAGCUCAUCAGCAUGCUUGACACCUUGUAGGACUUGGCUCUUAUGGUGCAUGUGCUUUGCGUUUUGCAUUCUCUCAGUUUGCACAAUACGAUUUGAGUGAGUUUGUUUAUUUAUGGGCUUGCUCCUGCAAACACGGACAUUCUGAGUUUGUGGGAUCAGCCCCUGUAUCUAAUUUUGGUUGCUUUGAUUUCAGAAUAUAAAUUAUGGAAGGAUACAGGUCCUAGGCAUUCAUGACAGAUAUCAAACAUGCAAUCCAACUAAGACAGACGACAAGCAAACCAACCACUUUCCUCUACACACAAGAAGCAGUCCAUAGAACUAUCUGAACUCUCUUAAAAUCCUAAUCCUCUCUGAUCACAAAUAAAAUCCUCACCCAAACCUUCCUUAAAUCUGAGUUCUAACCAAACAAAUGGGCUUUGCAGCAUGCUUUAGAAGUCAGCGCACUUGAGCUACUCCAGACCAGGAGAUGAAAUCCAAAGUGUCACAGAGAAUGCCCUGAAUUCAGGAUGCCCAACUUGGGCCUGAUUUAGAGAGGUGCUGAGCACCCACAACUGCAUAUGGCAUUUAGAUCACAGGUACAGCAAGAGGUGCCAGUUAGCAUCAGGACUCCAUUGUGCUAGGCACUGCACAAACACAUAGGGAAAUACACAUAGCUGGGGGUGUUCUUCCCAGCUCAAGGAGCCAUACCGCUGACAGUUCUGAUUGAGCUAGAGCAAUGGCACUCAAACUUUUGUACUGGUGACCCCUUUCACGUAGCAAGCCUCUGAAUGCGACCCGCCCUUAUAAAUU